ACUGUAACCAAUUGCUGUAUUUUUUACAGUAAAACCAUACAGUAAAUAACUGUUUAAGGAUUUUCCAUUGUAAAACUGUAGAACGCAAUGCAUCAUGGGAUGCCCUACAAAUACAACUGCCACCUGUGUAUUUAACCAUAACCUACUGGGGGCAAACGGGCAGUUCGGUUUUCCCCUGGAAAGAAGAAGUUUCCUCAGGAUUUACUGCUGUUCUUGAGAUCACCCACCUGAGGAAAACUCCAAGAACACCUGCAUUUAAGAAUUAAGUUCUGUUCUUCGUUCAGAUGUCCAAAGUCCAACACCUGCAGACGUAUCAAGAAGUCUAAGGAAUAGCCAACCCACCAUCAGUACACCAAGUACAUCCAGCCCAACUGACAGAUCCAGAGUAAUAGAUCUUAGUACUUGGCUCGACAAGUUUAAGGUCCCAUGGAGCAAGAUGCCCCAAGGAAUAAAACUCUCGAUAAACGCACAACAGCGGCCUACUCCUCGAGACCGUCGGGAGAUGAUAAGAGUCAUUGUAGAUGAAAUAAGACUUAUCGAGCCCAAUCCUACUAGAUCAGACUGCGUUACAGUCGCCAAGAUGGUUGUUAAGGAAUAUCCAGAAAGUUUUGCAGACAUUCUGAAAGAUGGCACCAGAAUUGGAAGUGGGUUUGCUUCACUGGUGAACCAGCUAAAAACGCGAGUUGAACACCUCAACCGUAACAGUGUAAUAGGAAGGCGCAGAAGGAUGAAAGGACACUCCAGUUCACCAACUACAAACCGAGCAAAAGGGCCAUCGGACCAAUAUGGGUGCAUCAGAUGGCAACCUGAUUGUCCUCAAGGGGAAACUGAGUCAAUUCUGAAAGAGAAGCAGGAGGAAAUGAAAGAGCUUUAUGCUCGUGAGGGUCCAGCAGCAGCAGAGAGAGGGCACAUUACUCAGCUCAUGGAGAGGACCUACUACUUGCAACGAAAAACCAUCAAUGCAAGUCCAGCCCCAUCUAUUGUGGAGCUCAAAACUGGCUGGCCAUUUCUUUUUACACCAAAAGAAAUUAAUAAUCACUUUAAGCUGUUAACUGACAUCUCUAUCCUUGAAAAAAUUACUGAUGCAAUUGAGCACAGAGGGAAGAUGAUCGUUAACUUUUUUCGCCAAAAACCAACAAAUGAAGUCCAGCAAAUUCUGUCAAGGUCGAGCUACCAUACUGGCACCAUGUGUUGUCCUCCUGCUGAUGGCACACUUCAAAGAACACUCUGAAGCACUGAUUUUACAAGUUCAUGCCACAGCCACACCAGCAGAUGUGGAGGAAUCAGUUUUACCAGACUCUCCAAGAUUGAUUGUUCAAGAUGUUUUGUGGGAAUCAACCCAACCACUGGCUCUAAGACAUCUACUGAGCAGGUCCUGAGCAAAAGAAGUGGAAAGGUAGUGGAGAAGAAAAAACACUCCAUGAAUGUCAAAGUUUGCAGCCUUCUAAGGAAAUUAAUGGACUUCGACUGGCUUUGCAUGUCGGUGUAAAUGUUGUCUUCAGCAUACUACUGCAUAAUGUGAAAAUGUUUAUUUAUCUUCAUGAUUAUUACAAAAAGACAAAAUGUCAAAUUUAUGUUUAACAUUUUCUUUUAGUUUUGGUAUGUACUAGUAGAUAUGUUUGCCUAUUGACUGCGUGGACUUUAAGUUGGUUGUAAAUCUAAUAGCAUACAGUACUUGUCACAAGUUGAUGCACCUUUUCAUUCAUUUAUUUAUUUUUAUUUAUUUAUUUUUCUUACAUUGUAAGACUGAAGUCAUUCAGACCAUGAAUGAACACUUAAGUUUAG